rnacentral:rRNA from 1 species
UACGUAGGGUGCAAGCGUUGUCCGGAAUUAUUGGGCGUAAAGAGCUUGUAGGCGGUUUGUCGCGUCUGCUGUGAAAUUUCGGGGCUCAACCCCGAACUUGCAGUGGGUACGGGCAGACUAGAGUGUGGUAGGGGAGACUGGAAUUCCUGGUGUAGCGGUGAAAUGCGCAGAUAUCAGGAGGAACACCGGUGGCGAAGGCGGCAUCCUGGACCAAUAUUGACGCUGAGGAGCGAAAGCUAGGGGAGCAAACGGG